rnacentral:rRNA from 1 species
GGGUAUCACCUUUUGGGGAUGCGGUAGAGGAGCGUUCUGUAAGCCUGUGAAGGUGAGUUGAGAAGCUUGCUGGAGGUAUCAGAAGUGCGAAUGCUGACAUGAGUAACGACAAUGCGAGUGAAAAACUCGCACGCCGAAAGACCAAGGUUUCCUGCGCAACGUUAAUCGACGCAGGGUUAGUCGGUCCCUAAGGCGAGGCUGAAAAGCGUAGUCGAUGGAAAACAGGUUAAUAUUCCUGUACUUCCAGUUAUUGCGAUGGAGGGACGGAGAAGGUUAGGCCAGCCUGGCGUUGGUUGUCCAGGUUUAAGGUGGUAGGCUGAAAUCUUAGGCAAAUCCGGGAUUUCAAGGCCGAGAGCU